rnacentral:rRNA from 1 species
AUGAACGCUAGCUACAGGCUUAACACAUGCAAGUCGAGGGGCAGCAUGAACUUAGCUUGCUAAGUUUGAUGGCGACCGGCGCACGGGUGAGUAACACGUAUCCAACCUUCCGUUUACUCAGGGAUAGCCUUUCGAAAGAAAGAUUAAUACCUGAUAGUAUGGUGAGAUUACAUGAUAACACCAUUAAAGAUUUAUUGGUAAACGAUGGGGAUGCGUUCCAUUAGGUAGUAGGCGGGGUAACGGCCCACCUAGCCUGCGAUGGAUAGGGGUUCUGAGAGGAAGGCCCCCCACAUUGGAACUGAGACACGGUCCAAACUCCUACGGGAGGCAGCAGUGAGGAAUAUUGGUCAAUGGGCGAGAGCCUGAACCAGCCAAGUAGCGUGAAGGAUGAAGGUCCUACGGAUUGUAAACUUCUUUUAUACGGGAAUAAAGUUUCCUACGUGUAGGAUUUUGUAUGCACCGUAUGAAUAAGCAUCGGCUAACUCCGUGCCAGCAGCCGCGGUAAUACGGAGGAUGCGAGCGUUAUCCGGAUUUAUUGGGUUUAAAGGGAGCGCAGACGGGAGAUUAAGUCAGUUGUGAAAGUUUGCGGCUCAACCGUAAAAUUGCAGUUGAUACUGGUUUCCUUGAGUGCAGUUGAGGCAGGCGGAAUUCGUGGUGUAGCGGUGAAAUGCUUAGAUAUCACGAAGAACCCCGAUUGCGAAGGCAGCUUGCUAAACUGUAACUGACGUUCAUGCUCGAAAGUGUGGGUAUCAAACAGGAUUAGAUACCCUGGUAGUCCACACGGUAAACGAUGGAUACUCGCUGUUGGCGAUAUACUGUCAGCGGCCAAGCGAAAGCAUUAAGUAUCCCACCUGGGGAGUACGCCGGCAACGGUGAAACUCAAAGGAAUUGACGGAA